UGGGGAAUAUUGCACAAUGGGCGAAAGCCUGAUGCAGCAACGCCGCGUGAGGGACGACGGCCUUCGGGUUGUAAACCUCUUUAGCAAGGAAGAAGCGAAAGUGACGGUACUUGCAGAAAAAGCGCCGGCUAACUACGUGCCAGCAGCCGCGGUAAUACGUAGGGCGCAAGCGUUAUCCGGAAUUACUGGGCGUAAAGAGCUCGUAGGCGGUUUGUCGCGUCUGCUGUGAAAACCCGAGGCUCAACCUCGGGCCUGCAGUGGGUACGGGCAGACUAGAGUGCGGUAGGGGAGAUUGGAACUCCGUGGUGUAGCGGUGGAAUGCGCAGAUAUCAGGAAGAACACCGAUGGCGAAGGCAGAUCUCUGGGCCGUAACUGACGCUGAGGAGCGAAAGGUGGGNGCAAACAGGCUUAGAUACCCUGGUAGUCCACCCGU
rnacentral:rRNA from 1 species